rnacentral:rRNA from 1 species
CAGCCGCCGCGGGAAUACGAAGGGUGCAAGCGUUACUCGGAAUUACUGGGCGUAAAGCGUGCGUAGGUGGUGGUUUAAGUCCGUUGUGAAAGCCCUGGGCUCAACCUGGGAAUUGCAGUGGAUACUGGGUCACUAGAGUGUGGUAGAGGAUAGUGGAAUUUCCGGUGUAGCAGUGAAAUGCGUAGAGAUCGGAAGGAACAUCUGUGGCGAAGGCGACUAUCUGGGCCAACACUGACACUGAGGCACGAAAGCGUGGGGAGCAAACAGGAUUAGAUACCCCCGUAGUCCAUGUCUCUUAUAC